rnacentral:rRNA from 1 species
AGUGAACGCUGGCGGUAGGCCUAACACAUGCAAGUCGAACGGCAGCACAGUAAGAGCUUGCUCUUACGGGUGGCGAGUGGCGGAUGGGUGAGGAAUACAUCGGAAUCUACUUUUUCGUGGGGGAUAACGUAGGGAAACUUACGCUAAUACCGCAUACGACCUACGGGUGAAAGCAGGGGAUCUUCGGACCUUGCGCGAUUGAAUGAGCCGAUGUCGGAUUAGCUAGUUGGCGGGGUAAAGGCCCACCAAGGCGACGAUCCGUAGCUGGUCUGAGAGGAUGAUCAGCCACACUGGAACUGAGACACGGUCCAGACUCCGACGGGAGGCAGCAGUGGGGAAUAUUGGACAAUGGGCGCAAGCCUGAUCCAGCCAUACCGCGUGGGUGAAGAAGGCCUUCGGGUUGUAAAGCCCUUUUGUUGGGAAAGAAAAGCAGCAGGUUAAUACCCCGCUGUUCUGACGGUACCCAAAGAAUAAGCACCGGCUAACUUCGU